CCGGGAGCACCGGUGUCUUGUGCAGCAUGGCGGGCGGCGGAGGCCCGGGCCUGUGGUACCCGGCCUGUCCUCGGGCUCUUCCAGGUGCGAACCCCGCGGUCUGUCCACCCCGUCGGUGCGGAGCGGGGCGCCCGGCUGACGGCGCCGGUCCCUUGCCGGGUACGGUGGGCCACCUGGCCUGGUCUGCGCGGCCGCUCGCGUUCGCGUUCCCGCGCGCUCGGGGUUUAAAAUAAUCUGCAGAUCCUGAACUGCUCGAGCUCGGGGGACAACAGCGCUUGGCGGCCCUUAGUUAAAGGCCUGCGCCUCGGAACGCAUAGAAGUGCGGGGAGGAGCAGCCGCUCCCGGCGGCAGCUUUCGCUGGACCAUGCACUGUGGCUGGUGUUCCUUUUGUGUCCACCAGAAGAGCAACGGUGCAACCUGUUUCAGGCUUAAGUGCAACAAAACCUGUCUCUCUUGAAGGUGCUUGAACAAAUGUUUUCCAGAAACUUGUCACAGAACGCGAUUUAAAUAAACCACCAGGAUGGCAGUUGCCAGUAACAAGGUACAGGUGUUAAGCAUAUAGGUUGCUGCAGGUGAAAGUCCCACCUCAGGAGCUGUGAUGUUUAUGAAUGCUUCAUUGCUUCAGGUACAGCACACAUUGUGGAUGGUGAAAUGAAGAAUUGGUCAAGAAUCCGUGAACAGAAGCAAAUGAUGAAUUAGUAUUUUAUUUGAUAGUAAUCAACAAUAAAUUAUGUAGAAAUAAACAGCUAACUGUUGUGGGCAGUAAUUUCUUUAAAAUGUAUGUCUUUUGAGCUUCAUUCUCAAUAGUAAAGUGCUCACCUUUCAUGAGCUUCAUUUUACUGAUCAACAGAACAGAUUGCUAGUACAGUAGCCGGGUACACUGUAGGAAGUCACUUGACAAGUCUGAAACGAUUUCCUCAAGACUUAACAGUUUUAGCCUCUUGAGUUCCUGGGUUUAGUAAAUAGCAUAAGAACACAUCAACAUUCUGAUAACUUGGGGGCAUUUAAAAGCCUUUGUAUUAAGGGCUGAGGAAGUGGUUGCUUAACUGGCACAAGA